GGUCUCUCCCUCAGAGUUGCUUUUUGUCUGAAAAAAUAAUUUUGUUGAAACUUUUUUACUAAUUUUCAACAAAAAGGUGCAAAGAUUUCAAGGCGUUUCAUACAAACCGUUCUGCCUGUCCUUCACUUGCAGGUUUGUUACAGGCACUGGAAGGAUGAGUGUGGACCAGCAGCUUCGGAUGGUUUGGGAAGAGAAAAAAAUGAACAGCCAGAGAAUAUUUUUGAUGGAAAUUGGCCCAACAGGUCCCUCUCAAGGCUUCAGUCACCCCCAAACCCACAGGGCUCCUCGUGCCUUCCCGGCAGCAGCGAAGCCGACACAGGGAUGCCAGAGCUGGGGACACAAAGGCAGCACUGCCACCCUUCCCCUGCCCUCUGCAGAGCAGCAAGGUGACCUCGGCGUGGCCAGCGAGCAGCAAGGUGCCCUCUGCCACCUUUAACCCCAGGUGAGACUGGCUCAUCCAGCCCCACCUGCCAUGGCAGGGGCACCUGCCACUGUCCCAGGUGCUCCAGCCCCAGUGUCCAACCCGGCCUUGGGCACUGCCAGGGAUCCAGGUGCAGCCCCAGCUCUGUGGACACCCCAAGUACCAAGUGUCCUCUGUUCCUGCUCUCAGGGUUGUGGUGAUCAUGAGGUUUCAGGUCCCAGAAUAAUUUUCCCUGGGUCAGGCUAAGAGGGACCCCUGGAGACUUUUGCCUUUUGGGAUCUGUGCAUCUCCUCCCACUCUGUGCCAGGAGCCUGCCCAGGUGUUUUGCUCUCCUCUUAUUUCAGGCACUGGCUUUGGAUUAAUUGCUCAUGAUCUGAACCCUGAGUUGUGCUGUGAUCCUGGGGAGAGGAUGUCCCACAGAUCCAGGAGAGGGGAUCUGAGCCCUGGUUCCAGAGCCCUCCUGCACGGCCCUGCCCCGCCGUGGCUCCCCCAGGUCUCUGUUGCUCCAGGGUCAGGUGCACACACAGAUCCUCUCCCGACAGAAGUCCUGUGGACAAGGGAGUGUUUCCCUGUCAGAUGGAUCUUCAGCAGGUUUGGAACAUCCUUACCCAGAGCCAGCCAGAGGAAAGGAUUUCUGUGAACACAGAAAAUCCUGAAAAAUCCAGAAAAUCCACAGAAAAUCCUGGUCUCCAGAACCAGCCUUUCAUCCAGGGAUCAGAAAUCCAAGUUCUCCCUGUGUCCAGCUUGAGCAGGUGAAAUUGUGCCUCAUCCAUCUCCAGCUACUGCUUCCAUCACCCUCCAAGGAGGUGCUGGGUUUAUUUUUAGAAGGAACCUACAAAAACACCCCCUCAACCCAGACACCAAACAGGAUGGGGCUGGCAGCCAGUGAGGCCGUGCUGCUCCUCGGUGACACCCAGGGAGCCUGGCAUGCCCGGGCGCCUCCCAGCUGUUCCCGAGGAGCCUUUUUUGGGUACUUUUCCCCAAAGGCACACGUGGUUCUUUGUUCAGAACUCCGUGGUGAUUAAAAUGACCGCUGAGUCCCGGAAAGUUAAAACAAGCCCUGCAGCCAGCGCAGUGCACAGGAAACAGCUGGGGAGAGGAUGCUGGAACGGAUUUCCAUAAAAGCCAAUGAUUCAUGGAAAUGUUCAGCGAGCGGGGCCAGCCUCGGGUCCUGAGGAACUGCUACUCCUGACCGACAGAUUCCCGAGCCAGCCCCACCCCGGCAGUCAUUCCCGAAUUCCCAGUGCCCGCCCCCAGCACCGGCCCUGGAGCAGAGCACAGGGAACUCCCAAAAUUCAGCCUGGGGGAUGUUACAUCCCCGAUUUCUGCUGCCAGUGAAGUGCUGCUCAGCUGCCCUGGACUGGGGAAAGGGAUGUCAGCAGAGGGCAGUGCCUGUGUUACAGGGGCUGGAGGGACAGGACACAGGGAACGGCAUCCCAUCCCAGAGGGCAGGGAUAGAUGGGAGAUUGGGAAUGAGGAAUUGUUCCCUGGCAGGGUGGGCAGACCCUGGCACAGGUGCCCAGAGCAGCUGUGGCUGCCCCUGGAUCCCUGGCAGUGCCCAAGGCCAGGUUGGACACUGGGGCUGGGAGCAGCCUGGGACAGUGGGAGGUGUCCCUGCCAUGGCAGGGGUGGCACUGGAUGGGAUUUAAAGUCCUUCCAACUCAACACAGUCUGUGGUGAUGAUGAUGGUGAUGGUGAAGGCCAUCUGGGCAGGACAGAGUGUGACCUUCCAGCAGGAAGAAGAACCUGCUGCAUUCUGUGGCUCUCCAGGCUCCUUUCUGCUGUGCCCAUCAGAUUUUCUUCCAGGACUCUUUCCCCAGAGCUCCAAGCAGGUACUGCCAGCUGGGCAUUGCUCCCUGGAGUGGUGCCAGGCCAAACCAAACCAUUUUCCACAUCCCAUAAGUCAGGAGAUGGAAAAUCCCCUUUGGGCCACUGGGUUCAGCUGCUCCUGCAGCGCAGGGCUGCUCCUGCCAGGACAUUUUCCAUGGAUAUUUCCCACCCACUUGGAAUGACUCAAGCACAGGGGCUCCACCACUGCAGGGAUCCUCCCUGGCUGCACAGCUCCAGGGGAGGGCAUUUUCCUCUCUCUCACACUGAGACUUUCCUUUCCAGAUGUCAGCUCUUUCCUCCCAUCUGGACCCCCUGGGUUAUUCUCCCUUUCCCUGACGUUUCCCGCUGUGUUCAUUCCGUGCCUGGCACCGGUGCCUGAGCCCUGCUGGUCUCACCCCCAUCCCACUGCAGGCAACAGAGGGCAAGGUGGGGCCUGGAAAAGUGGCCUCAGAGACACCCUGGGCCAACCCCCUCCCUGGAAGGGUCUCCAUCCCCCUGAGAGCUCUGGUGGCACCUGUGCCCCUGCCUUGGCUCACCGGGCAGGAGCAGCGACCCCCGGCACUGAGCCCCGUCCCCACUCCGGCUGGAGCAGGGUGGGAUCACUCCAGAGCCUGGAGAGCCAAGGAGAACAAUCCAUGGGAGCUGGCCAUGACCUGGGAACAGCGCCCAGGGCAAUGCCAGCUGCUCCACACAAAUGACAUUCCUGGUGUGAAAGUCCCCCAGCAUUAAUCUCAGGCAGUGCCCUUAUCAUCCCACCCCAAUGAAUUGUGUGUGUGCUGUGAGGAUGAAACCCCUGGAUUAGUGAUUCACACCAUCACAGCUGUUUGGGGUUUGUUCUUCCUUCAGCAGGGCUCUCUCAACCACCUGUAACCACCAAGGACAAAAUCCAACAUGGAAUUUUCAUGAUGGAAAUAAGGGCCUGUUUUAAAUAACUAAAAAUGCAGCUGUGGGGGGCUGUCUGCGAAAGGAAAUUCCCCCAGUUUCAUUAUCCUACUCUUAUUUUGGUAUUGAAAAUGCACAGUACAAAGAAAGACAGUCAUGCUUUUAUUCUGAUUAAUACAUUUUAAUGAUCUGUGGCAUCAGUUUCUAUUUCCAUGCACUUUUAACACUGCUUAGGAACUAAGAUGGUUUUUCCUGCAGUCCAAUUUCUUCUUUUGUAGAAAAACUCCAUCUGCAAGGCACAGUCGGGAUCCCAGAUCCUACACACACCUCAGAGCAAGGUCUAGUGAUCAUCCCAGCUUUGGUUUGUGAUAUCCCAGUGGGAAUGAAGUGAUAUCCAUGGCAAGCUGUGCAUGGCCACUGCUGAUCCCAAUUUCUGCCGAAGGAGCAGCAGGACCAGGCAGGGGCUGGACUCUCCAUCUUAUCAUCUGUGGAGAACAUUACACUUUGGGCAACUUCAGGUGGGAAAAGGAUGAGCCACACUGAGGCACUGACUGAGAUUCCAGGGCUCUUCUUGUGCUGUCCCUUUGUCCCCUGGGAGCAGGGAUGGAUCCCCCCUGGCCACCCUCCUGGCAGGGUCAGUGAGGAGGGGUUUGGCCACACCAGGGAUGUGUCUGGGGCUCACACAGAACAUCAGCCCCAGCCCACGGAGCCCCAUUUCCCUGCCUGGCACAGGGGAAUGAUGCUGUCUGAAAAGGGUCAGGGCUGCAGGAGCUCCCUCCAGAGCAGGUGCCACCCCCAGCUCUGCCAGGGGCAAUUUGAAGCCUUUCCAGCAGGGAAGGACAGGACAGCCCCGUGCCACGGGAUGUUUUCUCCAAGGGAAGGGCUGGAAUCAGGGCAGGAUCCACAGGGACAGGUUUGUUCCUGGAGCUUUGUUUGGCUUUGCCUCAUGCCAUGAGUCCUGGAGGGCAAGGUCCCUGACACCAGGGAGGAGCUCUCCUACAAGAGCUUCCUGCAGGAAGUUUGAUUUCCUAAAAUUUCAGGGCUGUAAUGAGGUGUCCAUGUCCUCCGUGGCACUUUGUGCUCUGCCUGUCAUCCCACCACGGAAACCACUUGGUAAACUUUCCUUGACAUGGUGAGAUGCAUUACAUUGUUUUCAAAGCCAGUAAGAAAGGGUCCCUGACAUUUCCAUAUUUUGUUUAUUGCUUAGCAGCAGAAGCUCUGGGCUCUGGGAGGAAGGGGGAGAUGGGAAAUAUUUGUUCUGGACUUGGUUUGCCUCCAGGACCUGGCCACUCCCUCGUGCCAGAGCCAUGAUCCCAUUCCUGCUCCUGUUAUUUUACGUGCUGUUCCUCCCUGGCCACACUCCCCUUUUACUGCAACUGCUGCUCCAGGACACAAACAGGGAGAUAAGAGCCCAGGUUUGAGAUGAUGGAAUCAUGGAAUCACAGACUGGUUUGGGUUGGAAGGGAUCUCAAAGCUCAUCCAGUUCUUGUCCCAGGUUGCUCCCAGCCCCAUCCCUCCUGGAUCCAGUGAUGCUGGGCCAUUAUUCCCUGCCCAGGGCCAGGACAUUGGAAUGGGGUGAAUUUUAAGGUCCUUUCCAACCCAAACCUUCUGGGAUCCAGGGAUUUUCGGAUUUCAAUCCCACUCAUUGAAGAUGUGCUGCUCCUUGUGCUCCUCUUGGAGAGACUCUUUUCACUUUUCCCAUCUUGAAACGCGCCCAGCAUUUAAUUACACCAUGAAUAAAUUAUUGGACAGAUAAAAGUUACCGCACCAAAAAUAAACAAAUAUUUAACUAGA